AGGACGAACGCUGGCGGCGUGCUUAACACAUGCAAGUCGAGCGGAAAGGCCCUUCGGGGUACUCGAGCGGCGAACGGGUGAGUAACACGUGAGCAACCUGCCCCUGGCUCUGGGAUAGCCUCCGGAAACGGGGAUUAAUACCGGAUAUUCACUGCUUCCCGCAUGGGGUGUGCGUGGAAGCUCCGGCGAUGCAGGAUGAGCCCGCGGCCUAUCAGCUUGGUUGGUGGGGUAAUGGCCUACCAAGGCGACG
rnacentral:rRNA from 1 species